UAGUGUCCUUAUAAGAAGAGGACAGAAUUAGCUCACUCUCUCUCUGCCAUGUGAGGAUACCAAGAAGUCAGCAGUCAAACCCAGAAGAGAGUUCUCAACAGAACCCGACCGUGCUGACAUCCUUCCCUAGGACUUCCAGCCUCUGGAACAGAUACUCCUGAAAGGAUGGUCUGCUUUUAUAGACAGUCAAUUCCUAGGCAUCACUCAUCACACUACAGUCCCCACGCCAACAUUCAGGAAGGAACACUAAGGAUGGCUGCCAACAUGAGAAGCAAAGAGAAAGGCAUGGAACAGAUUCUCUCCUAGAGCCUUCAGAGCGCUGGAUUUUGGACUCCUAGCCUUCAGAACUUAAGAAUGUAAAUUUCUGUUGUUCUAAGAGGCGUGCACACACACACACAUACACACAGCUAAUCCAACUCCUUGUAUCCUAUGCUUCAAUUACUCUUAAAUGUCUCUGAUGCACCAAGUCACUAUGAUUACAUCAUCAAAGUCCUCCUCUCUGCCUCAAUUCCUUUGUAUCUCUCCCCACUAGACAAUCACUUACUAUACUAUAAUUAGUGAGUAAAAGGUUCUGGGAGCCA
rnacentral:lncRNA from 1 species